rnacentral:rRNA from 1 species
CGGCGUGCCUAACACAUGCAAGUCGAACGGAGUCAAGAAGCUUGCUUUUGACUUAGUGGCGGACGGGUGAGUAACGCGUGAGUAACCUGCCUCUGAGAGGGGAAUAACGUUCUGAAAAGAACGCUAAUACCGCAUAACGUAUUGAAGCCGCAUGACUUUGAUACCAAAGAUUUUAUCGCUCGGAGAUGGACUCGCGUCCGAUUAGUUAGUUGGUGAGGUAACGGCUCACCAAGACCGCGAUCGGUAGCCGGACUGAGAGGUUGAUCGGCCACAUUGGGACUGAGACACGGCCCAGACUCCUACGGGAGGCAGCAGUGGGGGAUAUUGCGCAAUGGGGGCAACCCUGACGCCAGCAACGCCGCGUGAAGGAUGAAGGUUUUCGGAUUGUAAACUUCUUUUAUCAGGGACGAAAUCUGACGGUACCUGAUGAAUAAGCUCCGGCUAACUACGUGCCAGCAGCCGC